UCUUAGGGGUGAGCAAAGAAAGUGAUCUCCUGAGAUGGAAUCUACUCCUGGUGAAAAGGCUGUGAA
rnacentral:pre_miRNA from 1 species